rnacentral:rRNA from 1 species
GCUUACGGCCAUACCAACCUGGCUAUGCCCGAUCUCGUCUGCUCUCGGAAGCUAAGCAGGUUUGGGCCUGGUUAGUACAUGGAUAGGAGACUGCCUGGGAAUACCAGGUGCUUUAAACU